AGAGUAGAGGAAAGGAGCAAUCCGCUUUACGAUGAGCCUGCGGCCUAUUAGCCUGUUGGUGGGGUAACGGCCUACCAAAGCUACGAUAGGUAGCCGACCUGAGAGGGUGACCGGCCACAUUGGGACUGAGAUACGGCCCAGACUCCUACGGGAGGCAGCAGCUGAGAAUCUUCCACAAUGGACGAAAGUCUGAUGGAGCGACAUCGCGUGAGGGAUGAAGGCCUUCGGGUUGUAAACCUCGGAAAUUAUCGAAGAAUGAGUGACAGUAGAUAAUGUAAGCCUCGGCUAACUACGUGCCAGCAGCCGCGGUAAUACGUAGGAGGCAAACGUUGCUCGGAUUUA
rnacentral:rRNA from 1 species